CUUCGAGAAAGUUGGCACAGGCACUGCAUUGUUACUGGCAGCAAACACAUAAAGCGCGACCUUCAACGAAGAAGGCUGCACUUCCCGAUAGAACGGGACCUGGACAAAGGCGUCCUCGCUAGGUGACUAGCGGGACGCC
rnacentral:sRNA from 14 species